rnacentral:tRNA from 1 species
GCUUUCCUGGUGUAAUGGUCAACACACUUGGCGCGUAUUCGAGAGGUCCGUGGUUCGAGUCCCGGCGAGGGUA